rnacentral:rRNA from 1 species
GGUUAAGCGACUAAGCGUACACGGUGGAUGCCCUGGCAGUCAGAGGCGAUGAAGGACGUGCUAAUCUGCGAAAAGCGUCGGUAAGGUGAUAUGAACCGUUAUAACCGGCGAUGUCCGAAUGGGGAAACCCAGUGCAAUUCGUUGCACUAUCGUUAACUGAAUACAUAGGUUAACGAGGCGAACCGGGGGAACUGAAACAUCUAAGUACCCCGAGGAAAAGAAAUCAACCGAGAUUCCCCCAGUAGCGGCGAGCGAACGGGGAGCAGCCCAGAGUCUGAAUCAGCUUGUGUGUUAGUGGAACGGUCUGGAAAGUCCGACGGUACAGGGUGAUAGUCCCGUACACCAAAAUGCACAGGCUGUGAACUCGAAGAGUAGGGCGGGACACGUGGUAUCCUGUCUGAAUAUGGGGGGACCAUCCUCCAAGGCUAAAUACUCCUGACUGACCGAUAGUGAACCAGUACCGUGAGGGAAAGGCGAAAAGAACCCCGGCGAGGGGAGUGAAAAAGAACCUGAAACCGUGUACGUACAAGCAGUGGGAGCACCUUCGGGUGUGACUGCGUACCUUUUGUAUAAUGGGUCAGCGACUUAUAUUCUGUAGCAAGGUUAACCGUAUAGGGGAGCCGCAGGGAAACCGAGUCUUAACUGGGCGUUAAGUUGCAGGGUAUAGACCCGAAACCCGGUGAUCUAGCCAUGGGCAGGUUGAAGGUUGGGUAACACUAACUGGAGGACCGAACCGACUAAUGUUGAAAAAUUAGCGGAUGACUUGUGGCUGGGGGUGAAAGGCCAAUCAAACCGGGAGAUAGCUGGUUCUCCCCGAAAGCUAUUUAGGUAGCGCCUCGUGAACUCAUCUUCGGGGGUAGAGCACUGUUUCGGCUAGGGGGUCAUCCCGACUUACCAACCCGAUGCAAACUACGAAUACCGAAGAAUGUUAUCACGGGAGACACACGGCGGGUGCUAACGUCCGUCGUGAAGAGGGAAACAACCCAGACCGCCAGCUAAGGUCCCAAAGUCAUGGUUAAGUGGGAAACGAUGUGGGAAGGCACAGACAGCCAGGAUGUUGGCUUAGAAGCAGCCAUCAUUUAAAGAAAGCGUAAUAGCUCACUGGUCGAGUCGGCCUGCGCGGAAGAUGUAACGGGGCUAAACCAUGCACCGAAGCUGCGGCAGCGACACUAUGUGUUGUUGGGUAGGGGAGCGUUCUGUAAGCCUGCGAAGGUGACCUGUGAGGGUUGCUGGAGGUAUCAGAAGUGCGAAUGCUGACAUAAGUAACGAUAAAGCGGGUGAAAAGCCCGCUCGCCGGAAGACCAAGGGUUCCUGUCCAACGUUAAUCGGGGCAGGGUGAGUCGACCCCUAAGGCGAGGCCGAAAGGCGUAGUCGAUGGGAAACAGGUUAAUAUUCCUGUACUUGGUGUUACUGCGAAGGGGGGACGGAGAAGGCUAUGUUAGCCGGGCGACGGUUGUCCCGGUUUAAGCAUGUAGGCUGGUUAUCCAGGCAAAUCCGGAUAAUCAAGGCUGAGGUGUGAUGACGAGGCACUACGGUGCUGAAGUAACAAAUGCCCUGCUUCCAGGAAAAGCCUCUAAGCAUCAGGUAACAUCAAAUCGUACCCCAAACCGACACAGGUGGUCAGGUAGAGAAUACCAAGGCGCUUGAGAGAACUCGGGUGAAGGAACUAGGCAAAAUGGUGCCGUAACUUCGGGAGAAGGCACGCUGGUGUGUAGGUGAAGCCCCUGCGGGUGGAGCUGAGACCAGUCGAAGAUACCAGCUGGCUGCAACUGUUUAUUAAAAACACAGCACUGUGCAAACACGAAAGUGGACGUAUACGGUGUGACGCCUGCCCGGUGCCGGAAGGUUAAUUGAUGGGGUUAUCCGUAAGGAGAAGCUCUUGAUCGAAGCCCCGGUAAACGGCGGCCGUAACUAUAACGGUCCUAAGGUAGCGAAAUUCCUUGUCGGGUAAGUUCCGACCUGCACGAAUGGCGUAAUGAUGGCCAGGCUGUCUCCACCCGAGACUCAGUGAAAUUGAACUCGCUGUGAAGAUGCAGUGUACCCGCGGCAAGACGGAAAGACCCCGUGAACCUUUACUAUAGCUUGACACUGAACAUUGAGCCUUGAUGUGUAGGAUAGGUGGGAGGCUUUGAAGCGUGGACGCCAGUCUGCGUGGAGCCAACCUUGAAAUACCACCCUUUAAUGUUUGAUGUUCUAACGUUGGCCCCUUACCGGGGUUGCGGACAGUGUCUGGUGGGUAGUUUGACUGGGGCGGUCUCCUCCCAAAGCGUAACGGAGGAGCACGAAGGUUAGCUAAUCCUGGUCGGACAUCAGGAGGUUAGUGCAAUGGCAUAAGCUAGCUUGACUGCGAGCGUGACGGCGCGAGCAGGUGCGAAAGCAGGUCAUAGUGAUCCGGUGGUUCUGAAUGGAAGGGCCAUCGCUCAACGGAUAAAAGGUACUCCGGGGAUAACAGGCUGAUACCGCCCAAGAGUUCAUAUCGACGGCGGUGUUUGGCACCUCGAUGUCGGCUCAUCACAUCCUGGGGCUGAAGUAGGUCCCAAGGGUAUGGCUGUUCGCCAUUUAAAGUGGUACGCGAGCUGGGUUUAGAACGUCGUGAGACAGUUCGGUCCCUAUCUGCCGUGGGCGCUGGAGAAUUGAGGGGGGCUGCUCCUAGUACGAGAGGACCGGAGUGGACGCAUCACUGGUGUUCGGGUUGUCAUGCCAAUGGCACUGCCCGGUAGCUAAAUGCGGAAGAGAUAAGUGCUGAAAGCAUCUAAGCACGAAACUUGCCCCGAGAUGAGUUCUCCCUGAGACUUUAAGUCUCCUGAAGGAACGUUGAAGACGACGACGUUGAUAGGCCGGGUGUGUAAGCGCAGCGAUGCGUUGAGCUAACCGGUACUAAUGAACCGUGAGGCUUAACCUU